AGUUGUUGCGGUUAAAAAGCUCGUAGUUGGAUCUCGGCAGGUAGGGGGCGGUUCGUUUCUGACGGUACUGCCCCAUUUACCUGUGUUUUUGACGGAGGUCUCAGGGUGCUCUUUACCGAGUGUCCUGAUACGCCGUCAGGUUUAUUUUGAAAAAAUUAGAGUGCUCAAAGUAGGCUUCAAGCUUGAAUAUUUGUGCAUGGAGUAAUGGAAUAGGAAGUCGUUUCUAUUUUGUUGGUUUUCGGAAAUUGACUUAAUGAUUAGUAGGGACAGCCGGGGGCAUUAGUAUUCAGACGCUAGAGGUGAGAUUCUUGGACCGUCUGAAGACUAACUACUGCGAAAGCAUUUGCCAAGAGUGUUUUCAUUAAUCGAGAACGAAAGUUAGAGGUUCGAAGGCGAUCAGAUACCGCCCUAGUUCUAACCAUAAACGAUGCCAGCUAGCGAUCCGUAGCUGUUUUUCAUGUAAGCUCUACGGGAAGCUUCCGGGAAACCAAAGCUUGUGGGUUCCGGGGGAAUUAUGGUUGCAAGCUGAA
rnacentral:rRNA from 1 species